UAUGAGCUGUAACACUCACUGCAAAGGUC
rnacentral:piRNA from 1 species